UACGGGGGGAGCAAGCGUUGUUCGGAUUUACUGGGCGUAAAGGGCGCGUAGGCGGCCACCGCAAGUCGACUGUGAAAUCUCCGGGCUUAACCCGGAAAGGUCAGCCGAUACUGCGGGGCUAGAGUGCAGAAGGGGCAACUGGAAUUCUCGGUGUAGCGGUGAAAUGCGUAGAUAUCGAGAGGAACACCUGCGGCGAAGGCGGGUGCUGGGCUGACACUGACGCUGAGGCGCGAAAGCUAGGGGAGCGAACGGG
rnacentral:rRNA from 1 species